rnacentral:rRNA from 1 species
UGGAUUAGGCAUGCAAGUCGAGCGAGAACCCCGCAAGGGGGGACAGCGGCGCAAGGGACAGUAAUGUGUAGAUCAUCUGCCCUCAGGCCCGGGAUAGCUGCGGGAAACUGCAGGUAAUACCGGAUAACAUCUCCGGAUCAAAGGUGUGAUUCCGCCUGAGGAUGAGUCUGCAUCCUAUUAGCUAGUUGGUGAGGUAAUGGCUCACCAAGGCGAUGAUGGGUAGCGGGUGUGAGAGCACGACCCGCGUCAUUGGGACUGAGACACUGCCCAGACACCUACGGGUGGCUGCAGUCGAGAAUCUUCGGCAAUGGGCGCAAGCCUGACCGAGCGACGCCGCGUGUGGGAUGAAGGCCUUCGGGUUGUUUUCCAC